rnacentral:ncRNA from 1 species
GCGGACGGUUUUGUGGUGAAUCAUGAUCACUUGCGAAUCGCACGUUUCAUUCAAGUGUCUGCCCUCUCAGCUUUGGAUGGUAGGGUGUUGGCCUACCAUGGCUUUAACGGGUAACGGGUAACUGGGGUUUGAUUCCG